rnacentral:lncRNA from 1 species
UCCUGGCUUCUGGACUCAGCUGAGAAUUCUGGAUUCUUUCUUUCUCAUAUGUCAACCUGAGCCCUCUGGCAUCGAGAGAGCUCCAACCUGAUCUUUCAUUCAAGCUUCCAUCCCUCCCACGGGAAGCAUUCAGUAGUCACUAAUAUCAGUUCAUGCUUGAUGGUGUUUUAUGCUGGCUCCCAUGAGUGACCUGUUCAGGUGAAUUGAUUUGAGGAAAAUCCUGGUUAUUUUGAAGUUGUUGCAGCUCAGUAUUAUUUUGUGUUUAAAUCACAAAUAACUUCACAAAUUUUCAGAACAAAAGAAACUGGA